rnacentral:snRNA from 1 species
AUACUUACCUGGACGGGGUCAAUGGGUGAUCAAUAAGGCCCAUGGCCUAGGUUGGUGACCUCCAUCGCACUUUGGAGGUGUGCCCGCCUAAGGUCUGCCCAAGUGGUCGAGCCUACGUCAUAAUUUGUGGUAGCAGGGGUCUGCGUACGCGCGGCCCUAC